ACUCCGGCCACCACCACCACCACCUACAUCCAUUCCGCCGCAUGUACUGCUUGAGGAGCUGCGUGUCAGACUCAUUGCUUUUCCCAACACUUCCCUGUGCUUAGAGUGAGAAAAGGACUACCAGAUGUGUUCCCUAGUCCUCUUUCCUACAGUCCAGGUAUGCCUACAAGCUGUGCCACCCUCAGACUGUCCUUCCUCCUGCAGUCACUCAUGGUAAGGUCACUCAGGGGCAGCGCAGAACCUCAAGUGUCCAGGGGCGGUAUUGAAGUG